UGAAAUCUGAUAUAUGUAUGCACAUUAGGGUAGUCCAAAAACUGUAAAGUCGGAGUUGUAAUACUCUCACCACCUAGGAUUGUUCUAUAUCGAAAAAAAGUAUACCUAAU